GCUUCGGUGGCCUAGUGAUUAGAGCGUCCACCUCAGAUGCGGAAGGUCAUGGGUUCGAUCCCAGGUUGAGUUA